GCCAUCGUGCGAGUAGGAGCAUUGUGCGCUUUCCCCCUACCCUCACGCACUCGCUGUUCGCGCGUGUGUGUUUCGAGUGCUUCUUGCGGGUUUACCAAGUGUUUUUUCCAGUGGCAAUUUCGACAAGUGUUUCCAAACGGAGAAUCUUAGAAGAAAGUGUUCGGUGCCUAGGCAUUCGUGUUCUUCAUUAUUGCAAAGAUAAAUGAAAUAAUUCAAUCAGGUGGUCGACUGUAAUCACCUUUGAGAGUGUUGUGUGCUUAAAUAAUAUUUCCAAGUGGUGAUAAAAAAAAUAUAUAUCUAUAUAUUUCUGGUGGAUAAUUCCUUGCAGCUUACUUGCAAGAGAUUGUAUUUUUUACCAGUUACAUAAAUGAUCAACUAAGAUCAUAAUAAGCCCAAAGGAAAAAAAAGCCUCACCAUAAAAAAUCUGUUACUGGUGCGUGCCCUUUGAAGUGAGACCCGCCAGUUUCAUCCACAGGUUCUCAAGCAUCACACACAUCCUUUAUACAGUGAAAAUGCCGUGGUUUGAGCUCUUUCUGCUCUUCUUGGCAGUGAUGAAGUCACUGCCACUUGAAGUUGUGUGCAACACGCUGCCGGACAUCUACUGGAACUCCUCCAAUCCCAUGUGAGUACCUUCAAACACGCGUUACUGCAGGACCGUGAGUAUCGGAGAGAAAAAUAAAGAUUUUCUAUAAAGCCCCAUCAGUGUAGUUUGAAGCAUGAGGGGAAAGAAUCAGUAAGUAUUUUUUUAUUCAAACUUUCAACUUAUCUGGACUUUGUUUAUACUUUCAUAACACUGUGUUUAUGUGCGGCAACAUAUACAUUUAUUUAUUGUACUACUAGCGCUAGACAGAUACGUAGGAAUAGAUAGAUCGUGAAUAGAUUAGUAAGAAUAGGUACAUGAUAAAUAAUCAGUAAACGAAGAAGAAGAAAAAAGACCAAAUAAACUGCACAAGAACAAAUAAUUUAAUCAGAAAUAUGAAAAUGUACAAAGGAAAAAAUCUCGAUGAAAGUGCAACCGCAAGUGCUCGCUGAACUUUGCUAUAUACAUUUUUUGCAGUGCAAUUAAUUACCCGAUUAAAAAAAAAAAAAAAUCAGAUAUUGCUAAUGGGGUAAUCUACGCAUUGUUUGAAAAGCGCUGAUCGAGAUGGUUCAAAAUAUGCUCUCAUAUAUUUGCUGCAACGUUUCUGGUAUUAU